AGGUGAAUGGAAGGGAUCACAACGCGAAGAAGGCUAGGGUGGAGGAGCGUGGCUCCUCGAGUCUGGUUUUUCUACCUCCGAGAGUAGAAGAAUGGAUAAAGGAUGCUGGUGAGGAAAGAAAAGGGAAGAGCUCCCCAAUGUCUUAUCGUGGUUCCUUAUUGCUCAAGAAGUGGCGGAAAUACUGGUUUCUGCCUGAUGCGAAUGACGAGGAAGGAGAAAAGUCUGGUUUCAGAGUUGGCAUGGAUUUAGAUAAUGGAGUAGAUCCUCAGUCAGGUAUCUCUGUUGAUCUUGGUGAUCUGCUUUGUCCUAUAUUUACUCUAUCUGAGCGAGAGACGGAAAGACUUUGCAAACCUUUUGCCAAGUCUUAGAUUGUCAAACUUCUUGGUCAGUCAAUUGGUUAUGGUUUGUUGGAAUCUAAGCCAAGAUAAAUCUGGUCGAAGAAUGGGGAUAUCAGGUUGGGGGAUUUGGAGAACGACUUCUUUGUCAUAAAGGGCUUUGACAAGGGGGCCAUGGGUUGUGUCAGAUUGCUGUCAGAGUGUGAUGAGAUGGAGGCCCGCUUUUAAUCCGAUUACAGAAACCAUAGAUGGAAUUGCUACUUGGGUCAGGUUUCUAGGGAUUGAUGUUAAACUCUUUGAUGAGAAGGUCUUAUACAACAUUGCUUGCUCUAUCGGAAAAGUUUUAAAGCUGGAAGUUCACAUGGCAAGUAGAGAACAUAACAAGUAUUUGGCUAGAUAUUACUCAUAAUGUGUGCUAGGAAGUCAGGAAUAGAAGAAAAGUGAGAUUUUGGAUCAAUUGUUGGUUGAAAAAGGAAGGUAAACUUGCUAGUACAUUUUUGGGUGCGGUAGAGGACUUGAAUUUGGAUCUAAGAGUUAAUGAGGCUUACACUAGAGAAGGCCUGUGGAAUUGGGACUGGUUGCAGUCAGUUUUACCUACUGAGAUGAUUCUAAAGAUUCAAGCUAUUCCCUCUCCUUGUAUAGAAGAUGGAAAUGAUAGGUUGGUGUGGCAAGGUGGAAGGAGUGGCAAUUACCCUGCUGCUGAGAUGUAUACACUAUGCAGGGGCUCGGCUUUGGAGGAUCAGGAUGGGAUUUGGAAGAUUGUGUGGAAGCUAACAGUGACUAGACGUAUUCAAGUCUUUACGUGGCUUGCUAUUCAAGAUCGUCUGCUCAUUGCUAAGAGACGAUGUAGGAUGCUGGGGGAGAUACGAAGUGUGUCUGAUGUGAGUUUACAGAUCAGGAUCUCAAGCAUGUUCUUCGUUACUGUCCCAAAGCUAGGAGGAUCUCGCAUGAGCUGGAGAAAGUUGAUCUAGCUACCAAAUUCUUCACUGACCAGAGUAGGGAUGGUUCCUCUUAAAUUUGUCAAAAAAGGAACUUGGAGUGUGACUUUCCGUGUGUGCUGUUCGUGGCCUUGGCGUUGGCGGCUUUGGCAUUGGCGGAACUGUGAGAUUUUUGAAGAAGGAUUUGUGCUACUAGAGAAUCCUACUAUAGUUGUGACGAAUUAUGUUUGGGAAUGCCUGUCUUCUGCUAGGUUGAUAAUUAUGGCACACGCAAAGAAAAUAAAGGCAUUAAGUGGCAAUAUCCUCCUUCUGGUUGUGGGAGCAUCUUGAGAUCGGAUAAUGGUAGCUGGAUCACGACUUUUUCGAAAAACUGUGAUGCUCUUUCUGCUAAAUUAUCGGGUGCUAUUCUGGGAUUUAAAUUAGCGCAGGAACUAGGAAUUAGUAAGCUUGUAGUGGAAGGUGACUCUGUAGUGAUACAAUAUUCGAUGGAAGCAUGGAGGCGCGAGGGAAUUUGCUGUAGGAUUAUAAACUCUUGGAUGAGUGAAGCUGAUACGAAUAUGCAUAUUUCUUUUGUACAUACCUACAGAGAAGAAAAUUUUAUUGCUGAUUUCUUAGCUAACACUGGUUUGUUGGGUAAUUUUGGGUUGUAUAGGUAUCAUACACCCCCUACAGGCAUGGUGAAUUUGCUAUUUGGAGACGUUGUGGGAGCUGCUCUCUCAAGAUUUAGCACAAUUGAUUGAUAAGAUGGGUUGGGCGUGAUGCCCCGGUAUUUACCCAAAACAAAAGUUUUUUUUCCCCCCCAUAUACUAAGUGAUCAACCACUUUACCCGAAGACAUACUUGAGCAAACCUCUACUCAGAGAGUUAUUUGAGUAAGAGUUUUGUUUUCAAUUUGUUACUCGAGCACCUACUCGAGUAAUAUCAACAAAAUUUGCUUAUCAGAUUCUGAUCCUGAUUCGAUUCAUUGAUUUUGAGGAAGAUACUUCAAGGAAAAUGUUCCUAACUUGCGAUUAUAUGUUAUCAACUACUAAUGAUCUACUUUGGAGUAUGAUUUGUACAAGAUUAUGCCACAACGAAAAAAAUGAUGUGGGUGAUUAGCUUACGAUUAGAAGCAUUUAAUGUUCUCAAUUGAAACUCGUGACCUUCUAGUUAGCUAUUAAAAUAUUUCAAGAAUUGUUGAAGUUUUAUUUUUAAUAAAUUACUUUAUAAGGUAAAAAA